GCCAAUUAGUCUUGUAGCGGUUUUUAAAAAGCAUGAUACCUUUAAUUUAAGUUUUAUGAUGGUUGUUUGAUGGGGUCUCCAGUUACCCUAGUGGUUAAGGUCAUGGAUCGCCAAUCCGAAAACGGCGGGUUCGAUUCCCGUUCCGGUCGAGAAAAUUUUCUCGACUCCCUGGACAUAGAGUAUCAUUGUACUUGCCACACAAUGUUACAAAAUACAUGCAAUGGCAGGCAAAGAAAGCCCUUCAAUUAAAAACUGUGGAAGUGCUCUAAGAACACUAAGUUUAAGAAAAACAGGCCUAAUUCCAAUGCGAACGUCGAGCCAUAAAGAAGAAGAAGAAGAUGGUUGUUUGAACCUGUUCUAGUCUAUUUGAAAAAAAAAAAUAAAGCCUUACUUUUCCAAACACCGUAUGUAACAUAUGUAAACAAAAAAAAAUUCACAUCAGGUGCUGAAUGUCGUUAAGGACUACUUGUAUCACUCGCCUUUGGGGAUGAUUUUUGAAAAAAAUACCCGGAUUUUACACGUUUUUGAAACGCUCAAUGUAUGAGUUGCUAUGGGAACAGCGAACUUCACCUUCGAUUUUCUCCGUUCGUGGAUUUUGUUAAUGUUACUUGGGAAAUACCUAUUCCAUGAUAACGUUAAACAUCUUUCUGACAUUGAUUUUAAGAAAUAAUUGAAGUUAGAGCGGUGAGACAGAGACAGGAUGCGUAGCAAAAUAACAUGUAUUGCCCAGCUGUCACAGAUCUCGCGAUUUUCGCGGAUUUGACUGAAUUGGGACGCGACAGAUGCGGAUUCUUUAAAAUCAAUCUUGUUGUAUAAAUUUCAACUUACACUAAGGCAACAUUCAAAAUAACAAAUUAAAAGAUAGAUGUUAGCCUGCGAGCAGUAUUUAAAAUUUGUAUAUCUUUUGAAGAUCCGAUCAACCCGAAACUUUACUAGGGUAAGAAAUCAAACUUUGAACUAGUCAAAUUGUAAUCUUAAUUUGAACCAUUUCAAAAUUCAUUAAAACGACGUUCUUUUUAGGCAAAUAUUGUCCCGAAAAAGAUGUUAAACAGCUUUCCGUAAUAUAACCUGAUAACAUGGACUUAAAAAGCAUUGAAAAAAAGGGUUUUGUCAUGGAAAACAGGCAAUUGAAAAAUCACUGUGAUUUCACCCAUUUCCCCCCAGAGAAAGCACAUUUUCGGUGCACUCGUACAGCUCAUGCAUUGUAUGACACGCAAUAUGUGAACACGUCAAAUGAAAGCUUAUUUAUCGUAGAAUCGAUCAACCGAAUAAUAUUCCGCAUUAUUUGUCAUAAAAUUAUCAAAUUUAAGUAAUUCUUACUUGGAGAAUGUUAUCUUAAGUUGAACCAUUUGUAAUCUAAAUUUGAACUAGUAAACGGGGGCGAGCUUCCAGUGUUGGCCAGCAGACUACGCUAGUGGUUGUUUUGUUUUCCUUGGAGAUGAAAAAUUCCAAAUUUAGUUUCCAAGUUCCUGAAGAGUUUAGAACAUUGUUAGUUGAAAUUCCACUGCCUAAAAAAAAGACACAGACACGUUUAAUGCUUCCAGUGAGCUAUUUGCUCUUUGAAGGAAGCACGACACUAGACAACGGACUAGCAUGCAACGCCCAGUGGCACAGCCGAAAACUUUUUCUGACAGCUGCGGCGGGAAUCGAACCCGCGCUCCUUAGCACGAUGCGACUAAAGGCUUGGUGACCUUAGCCGCACGACCACGAAGCCUAAUGAAAAAUAGUUAUGGGAAUUAGCAAAUCCAUGUGUUUUUCUAUUGUUCAGCACGAAAUUGGCUGUUUUGGGAGAUGAUCGAGCUGCUGCCGCCAGUAGGUCAAAUUAAGGUUAAAAUUGGUUCAAAUUAAGAUUAAAAUCAUUGUUGACGAAUAAUCGAAUUUUUCAAUGAAAUUCGGUGCAAGUAUAAACUUUUUACCACUUAACAGAAAGCUUAUAUCCGUGGCUUUCAUGUACAUAAGAUUUUGCCGUAGUAAAUUAUUUCCAUGUGGGAGAAAAAAUCACUCAAAAUUUGCGCUACUUCGGAAAGCCGCAAUUUGGUUCAAUUUUUGAUUACCUACCUUAACCCUCUAAUACCCAAAUUUUUGAUUUUGAUCUAAAUAUUAUUUUUCGUCAUCUAAAAUCGAUUUAAACAUGUUUUGGAAGAUGAUUCUUUUCAAUUCUCGAUUUCGUGAAUUUCAGUUUUUGAUUUUUCUAAUUUUUAUUUUUGAACAUCCCCACACUUUUAUAUUUUUCCUGGAAGUCAAUUUGGGGAACGGAUUUUUUGAGAUGAAAACAUUUUGAGAUUUUAUAAUUAUUGUUGAAAAAUUAUUAUUUUAAAUUAUUUUCAUAGAAAAUUUUAUUUUCCGUGUAAUUUUAAGGAAAAUAAUUUUAGAGUGUAUUCGGUUCCCUUAAGGCGAAACUGGAACCAUUUCCUCACUUUUUGGUUUUUGAUUUUUUAUAAAAUAACGAAGCCAUAUUUUCAAAAUCGGUUUUCGUACACAUGUAGAGUAUAGAUCAAGGUAUCUCCUGAUUUUUUUUCGUGGUGGAAAAUGAUUUUCGUUUUUGCAGAAACCAUUUUUGAAUAAAAUUUCACAAAAAAAUGGUUUCUGUAAAAAUGGAAAACUUUUUCCACCUUAAAAAAAAUCAGAAGAUACCUUGAUCCAUACCCGACAUGUGUACGAAAACCGAUUUUGAAAAUAUUGCUUCGUUAUUUUAUUAAAAAUCAAAAACCAAAAAAAUGAGAAAAUGCUUCCAGUUUCGCCUUAAACUAUUAAACAAGGAUAGAAUGAUUUGGGAAAAAUUUAAAAUAUGUUAAUUGUAGCGAUUCAAUGCAAAAUAAACAAUAACUUCUAAAAGGUGACUGAAACAUCAAUUUGUCAAUGAGUUUUUAAAAAUGUAAAUACGCUUUAAAAUACACCAAAAACCAUUUUGAGAUAUACAGAACAGUUCUAAAUAUCAGCCAAAAAUAUAAAAAAAAUGAUUUUCCACGAAACAAAAAUUACAAAAACGCUCAAACUAUACCUCGUCUAAAGGCGGGAUUGGGUAUUAGAGGGUUGACAUUAUUCCAAGCCUAACUGAGAGCUGUUUCAACGAUUUCUAGCAGAAUUUCUCCCGGCAUUUCUUCCAUAAGUUCUCUCUGUAUGCUUCCAUAGUUUUUCGUUGGAUUAUUGAUUAUAUAACGAGGCCGCAUCUUAAAUUUUUAAAAGCACAAAUCUGAGCUGAAAAGUAGAUCGAUUGGUUACCCGCUGAUGGUGACUAAUCUAUCAACUUUUCAGCUCGGCGCGAUACUUGGACCUUCUGAUUUGUGCCUUUGAAAAUGCAAGGUUCAUUCUAUAAUCCAGCUAUAACAAGCUUUCCAACAGUUUCUCCCGUGUUUUUUUUUGCGUGAUUUCCUUCCGAAUUUUUUUAUGGGAUCUUACCCGCUGAUUCUCCCGGAAUUUUUCUUAGAGGUUUUUAGAGUUGGGUCCACCUUGGAUUUUCUAAAUAUUUCCUCCCAAGAUUACUUCCAGACUUUCGAAUUGUCCCAGUUUUUGUUACGACGUUUUUCUCGAGAUUUCUUCAACAGGUCUACCGUUUCUCGAAAGAUUCCACCAGGAUUCCUUCCGACAUUGCUCUAGGAUUUUCUUACGAUGAAUUUUGUAGGUUAUCUCAGGAGCUAUUUUAGGAAAUACUUAUGGAAAAAUCCAUGCUACUAUAAGAUAAAUCCCAAAAGAAAUACCCACGAUACAAUUAUCGUUAGGGAUUCCGGAAAGAAUUUGUGGAGCCUCGUGUUCGUGCGGUUAGCGUCACAAAGCGUAUAACCAUACCAUGCCAUGUGGAGAGGUUUCGAUUCCCGUUCCGAGUGAUGAAACUUUUUGCAAGAUAUGUUUCUUCCUCGUAUCUACUGGUGCUCGUAAUGUGUGUCGCGUCCGUUGUCUAGUGUUAAGCUUCGUUCAGUCUGUACAGCCUCUGGCUGAAGACGGUGUUCUUGUCUAUUUUUAAGAAUUCUGGAAGAAAUCGUGAGAAAAAAACGAGAGAAAUCUCAGGCAAAACUUCAAAUAGAAUCCGUGAGAACCUUUACACUUGAAAAACAGUCGUGUGAUCGGCUUUUCGCGCACAGUUGACUACUCAGCCUCAGUAAAAUUUACGUUUGUGAGCUGAUUCUCAGCAAAACAGUUGCCGAAUCUUAGUAAUGAACUGUCAAAGUUGCUGAGAUCUCGAUAUGGGUGUUGUUAA